UACGAAGGGGGCUAGCGUUGUUCGGAAUCACUGGGCGUAAAGGGCGCGUAGGCGGCCGCUCAAGUCGGGGGUGAAAGCCUGUGGCUUAACCACAGAAUUGCCUUCGAUACUGUUUGGCUUGAGACCGGAAGAGGUUAGUGGAACUGCGAGUGUAGAGGUGAAAUUCGUAGAUAUUCGCAAGAACACCAGUAGCGAAGGCGGCUGACUGGUCCGGUUCUGACGCUGAGGUGCGAAAGCGUGGGGAGCAAACAGG
rnacentral:rRNA from 1 species